rnacentral:rRNA from 1 species
AGCAGCCGCGGUAAUUCCAGCUCCAAUAGCGUAUAUUAAAGUUGUUGCAGUUAAAAAGCUCGUAGUUGAAUUUCGGGGUUAGUAGAUCGGUCGUGCCACUGGUAUGUACUGGUCUUACUGAUUCCUCCUUCCUGAUGAACCGUAAUGCCAUUAAUUUGGUGUUGCGGGGAGACUGGACUGUUACUUUGAAAAAUUAGAGUGUUUAAAGCAGGCUUUCGCUUGAAUACAUUAGCAUGGAAUAAUGAAAUAGGACGUUUGAUUCUAUUUUGUUGGUUUCUAGGAUCGACAUAAUGAUUAAUAGGGAUAGUUGGGGGCAUUAGUAUUCAAUUGUCAGAGGUGAAAUUCUUGGAUUUAUUGAAGACUAACUACUGCGAAAGCAUUUGCCAAGGAUGUUUUCAUUAAUCAAGAACGAAAGU